rnacentral:rRNA from 1 species
CAGCCGCCGCGGGAAUACGAAGGGGGCUAGCGUUGCUCGGAAUGACUGGGCGUAAAGGGCGCGUAGGCGGCGAUCAAAGUCAGGCGUGAAAUUCCUGGGCUCAACCUGGGGGCUGCGCUUGAUACUUGGUUGCUUGAGUGGGGAAGAGGGUCGUGGAAUUCCCAGUGUGGAGGUGAAAUUCGUAGAUAUUGGGAAGAACACCGGUGGCGAAGGCGGCGACCUGGUCCUUGACUGACGCUGAGGCGCGAAAGCGUGGGGAGCAAACAGGAUUAGAUACCCCCGUAGUCCCUGUCUCUUAUAC